GACGAACGCUGGCGGCGUGCCUAAUACAUGCAAGUCGAGCGAGCGGAACCAACAGAUUUACUUCGGUAAUGACGUUGGGAAAGCGAGCGGCGGAUGGGUGAGUAACACGUGGGGAACCUGCCCCUAAGUCUGGGAUACCAGUUAGAAAUGACUGCUAAUACCGCAUAAGACCACAGCACCGCAUGGUGCAGGGGUAAAAACUCCGGUGGUAUGAGAUGGAUCCGCGUCUGAUUAGCUAGUUGGUAAGGUAACGGCUUACCAAGGCAACGAUCAGUAGCCGACCUGAGAGGGUGACCGGCCACAUUGGGACUGAGACACGGCCCAA
rnacentral:rRNA from 1 species